UGGGUCUCGCUCGUUACCUGACUUAACAGGAUGCUUCACAGUACGAACUGACGACGGCCAUGCACCACCUCUCAGCUAAUCCGGCAAAGUCUUCAGCCUGGCCUUCAUAUUGCUGUCGGUCCCGGUAAGAUUUCCGGCGUUGAAUCCAAUUAAACCGCAAGCUCCACCCGUUGUGGUGCUCCCCCGCCAAUUCCUUUAAGUUUCAGCCUUGCGGCCGUACUUCCCAGGUGGCUCGCUUCACGGCUUCCCUACGGCACCGACAACGGUCGCACCGUGGCCGACACCUAGCGAGUAUCGUUUACGGCUAGGACUACCCGGGUAUCUAAUCCGGUUCGUGCCCCUAGCUUUCGUCCCUUGCCGUCAGGUCCGUUCUGGUGAGACGCCUUCGCCACUGGUGGUCCUUCAAGGAUUACAAGAUUUCACCCCUACCCCUGAAGUACCUCUCACCUCUCCCGGCCUCGCAGCCAGACAGUAUCUCCUGAAAGCCUGACAGUUAAGCUGCCAGAUUUCUCAAGAGACUUAUCCGGCCGGCUACAGACCCUUUAGACCCAAUAAUAACGGUUACCACUCGAGCCGCCGGUGUUACCGCGGCGGCUGGCACCGGUCUUGCCCGGCCCUUGCUAUGAAAUGCUUUUUAGGCAUCUCGACAGCCAGAUUUGUAACCUGGCACUCGAGGUUCCCUUAUCGCUGUUGCCAGCAUUGUAAAGUUUUCGCGCCUGCUGCACCCCGUAGGGCCUGGAUUCGUGUCUCAGAAUCCAUCUCCGGGCUCUUGCUCUCACAACCCGUACCCGUCGUAGGCUAGUAGGUACGCUACACCCACUACUACCUGAUAGGCCGCAGACCCAUCCUUAGGCGCCGGAGCUUUAAAUCUCGAUGCAUUCCAGCAAUCGAGACCUAUCGGGUAUUAUACCCAGUUUCCCGGGUUUAUACCCAACCUAAGGGCAGGUCUGUCCACGUGUUACUGAGCAGUUCGCCAUGUAUUGCUACAUUCGACUCGCAUGGCUUAGUCGAACCUCGAUAGCAGUAACCUCUGGCAGGCAUCAACCGGA
rnacentral:rRNA from 1 species